rnacentral:rRNA from 1 species
GAUGAACGCUGGCGGCGUGCUUAACACAUGCAAGUCGAACGGAAAGGCCCAAGCUUGCUUGGGUACUCGAGUGGCGAACGGGUGAGUAACACGUGGGUGAUCUGCCCUGCACUUCGGGAUAAGCCUGGGAAACUGGGUCUAAUACCGGAUAGGACGAUGGUUUGGAUGCCAUUGUGGAAAGUUGUUUCGGUGUGGGAUGAGCUCGCGGCCUAUCAGCUUGUUGGUGGGGUAAUGGCCUACCAAGGCGUCGACGGGGAGCCGGCCUGAGAGGGUGUACGGCCACAUUGGGACUGAGAGACGGCCCAGACUCCUACGGGAGGCAGCAGUGGGGAAUAUUGCACAAUGGGCGCAAGCCUGAUGCAGCGACGCCGCGUGGGGGAUGACGGCCUUCGGGUUGUAAACUCCUUUCGCUAGGGACGAAGCGUUUUUGUGACGGUACCUGGAGAAGAAGCACCGGCUAACUACGUG